CUCAGCUGAUCAAGUAACCGUACUCUCCCUUUAUAUGUGAAGUUCUUAAAGAGUGGAGUGACAUUUACAAUAUUCCAGUCCUCUGGGACCAUGCCAGAAUCAAGUGAUUCUUGAAAGAUCAUGACCAAUGCAUUUAUUAUCUCUUCAGAAACCUCUCUCAGGAUUCUGCGAUGUAGUCCAUCUAGUCCAGCUGACCCACCAGCACUUUUCCGUAACUGACAUUAAAAUUGAACUUGGCAAAAGUACAACCUUCCUAAAGCAAAGAGAAGGAACGAUAGAACCAUUUUCAUAUCUAAGAAAUAUGGGCUUAAUUCUCAACUAAGGAUUUGCUCCGAGUGCUACAGUUUCCU